CCUACGGGGGGCUGCAGUGAGGAAUCUUGCGCAAUGGGCGAAAGCCUGACGCAGCGACGCCGCGUGGACGAUGAAGGCCUUCGGGUUGUAAAGUCCGACAAACAGGGAAGAAUAAACAAGAGGUAAUAUUUCUUGUGAUGACGGUACCUGUCUGAAGCCCCGGCUAACUACGUGCCAGCAGCCGCGGUAAGACGUAUGGGGCGAGCGUUGUUCGGAAUUAUUGGGCGUAAAGGGCGUCUAGGCGGGGAAUUAAGUUAGGUGUGAAAGCCAUGAGCUUAACUCAUGAAUUGCAUCUAAAACUGGUUCUCUUGAGUUCGGGAGAGGAGAGCGGAAUUCCCGGUGUAGCGGUGAAAUGCGUAGAUAUCGGGAAGAACACCAGUGGCGAAGGCGGCUCUCUGGCCUAGAACUGACGCUGAAGCGCGAAAGCGUGGGGAGCGAACGGGAUUAGAUACCCCAGUAGUC
rnacentral:rRNA from 1 species